rnacentral:rRNA from 1 species
AGUGAACGCUGGCGGUAGGCCUAACACAUGCAAGUCGAACGGCAGCACAGUAAGAGCUUGCUCUUACGGGUGGCGAGUGGCGGACGGGUGAGGAAUACAUCGGAAUCUACUUUUUCGUGGGGGAUAACGUAGGGAAACUUACGCUAAUACCGCAUACGACCUACGGGUGAAAGCAGGGGAUCUUCGGACCUUGCGCGAUUGAAUGAGCCGAUGUCGGAUUAGCUAGUUGGCGGGGUAAAGGCCCACCAAGGCGACGAUCCGUAGCUGGUCUGAGAGGAUGAUCAGCCACACUGGAACUGAGACACGGUCCAGACUCCUACGGGAGGCAGCAGUGGGGAAUAAUGGACAAUGGGCGCAGGCCUGAUCCAGCCAUACCGCGUGGGUGAAGAAGGCCUUCGGGUUGUAAAGCCCUUUUGUUGGGAAAGAAAAGCAGCAGGUUAAUACCCCGCUGUUCUGACGGUACCCAAAGAAUAAGCACCGGCUAACUUCGUG